GAACGAGAUCUAUCCUUGUUGGUUCAGUUUAUUAUCAGGUUUGAAUUGAUUGCUUCCUGGUCAUUACCCUCUUGUUCCAUAGAUAUUUACCUUUAACCCGGCCUUGAUGAGAGAACAGGUUACAGUGCUGAUUGAGUUUCUAGCUUUUUUCCCAAACUUUUCUAAUUUAAUCUCCUGCCAUGCUAUCUGGAAUCUCUCAUCAGUUCCAGCUGAAACCAUUCAAGUCAAACUGUUUGCAGCUUGAAGUGGCAUCAUUUUCAUCACCCACAUUUAAGUCCAGUUUGGCCGCAAAACAAGGCAGGCUAUAUUCUUGAGAGAUUCUCUCGUUGUCUAGUUUAACCAAAUUUGCUUUAUUGUCAAUUUGGAGGAGAAAAUCGUUGCCCUCAUUCCAUCCUUUUAAUAAUUCAUUAGAAUAGCUGCCACUCCUGCUGUUGCCAUUGCCACCGCCAUUGCCCUUCUCUUCUUCUUUAAGUCCAACACUGAUGGAUAAAUUGUCGGAACUUCUUUCAACAUGAAUCAUUUUACUUUCCUUCAGGUCCUCACACCACUUUAGUUCAGGCUGCUGUAGUCUGGACGAGUCCACCAUCUCUUUUGGCUCCAAGCAUGAAAUACUAUUGUAAGGUCUUAAACCUGUCCUGCUAUUGCGUGUUUCAUGGUCCUCUUGAGAUCCUUUGCAGGAGGUCAAGCAGCUAUCUAUUGAACGAUUGGGUUGGGUUGCCUGUGCACGCUGGGGGCACAAACCCGACAGUUCUUUCAGCCCUGGAAAUGCAGAAUUCAGGCACUUAGUUGAUACUUUGGACACCAAUUCAGAUAGCUGGACUUUGGCACCUUCUAGUCCCACUGUGCCUAAGUUUUGUCUUUCAAGUGUCUCCUGGGCUUUCUCCAACACAGUCUGUAGAAAUCCUGUCUCCUGCAACUAAAACCAUGCCUAAACCCAGCAGGAAUUCCCAUUUGAGAGCUGAGUAACAAAUCAUUCUGCUGAAGGCUUGUUUGGAUGAUGGUCUAUUUUAUGGAACUGGUAUUUCUUUUCCCCCCCCAAAGUUUUUACUUUGAAGCGCAUUAAAUUCUUUCAGGAUUUGUCACUAUUAUUAUUAUUCCUCACCUAGAGAGAGAGAGAGAGAAAAACAUGGAUUGUUGGUCUUUCUUGUACUUGCAUUCCCUUUAAAGUGGUUUAUACUUGUAUAAUUUUU